rnacentral:rRNA from 1 species
GAUGAACGCUGGCGGCGUGCCUAAUACAUGCAAGUAGAACGCUGAAGGAGGAGCUUGCUCUUCUGGAUGAGUUGCGAACGGGUGAGUAACGCGUAGGUAACCUGCCUGGUAGCGGGGGAUAACUAUUGGAAACGAUAGCUAAUACCGCAUGACAACAGUUAUUGCAUGAUAACUGUUUAAAAGGGGCAACUGCUCCACUACCAGAUGGACCUGCGUUGUAUUAGCUAGUUGGUGAGGUAACGGCUCACCAAGGCGACGAUACAUAGCCGACCUGAGAGGGGGAUCGGCCACACUGGGACUGAGACACGGCCCAGGCGCCUACGGGAGGCAGCAGUAGGGAAUCUUCGGCAAUGGACGGAAGUCUGACCGAACAACGCCGCGUGAGUGAAGGAGGUUUUCGGAUCGUAAAGCUCUGUUGUAAGAGAAGAACGAGUGUGAGAGUGGAAAGUUCACACUGUGACGGUAUCUUACCAGAAAGGAACGGCUAACUACGUG